AAGACUAUACUUUCAGGGAUCAUUUCUAUAGUAUGUAAACUUUUUGUCCUUUAAAUAUCUGUCAUCCACCCUCUCUCUCUUUCUCUUACUAGUGGG
rnacentral:snoRNA from 1 species